rnacentral:misc_RNA from 1 species
GUGAAUCAUCGAAUCUUUGAACGCACAUUGCACUCCCUGGUAUUCCGGGGAGUAUGCCUGUUUGAGGAUCGUUAGAAAAAAAAAUAGAGGCGUUGCUCUUUUUUAGAGGGUGAUGGCGGCGGAAUUGAGCCGUCUGUUAAAAGGUAAUUAAUGUCAAAGUGGGUUAAAAAACAUUAAUCCGGUACGAUUAAAACGAAUUUAAGAUAAAUUUUGAUUAAGAACGCGCGAUGGA